rnacentral:pre_miRNA from 1 species
AUAGUACUUCCUCCGUUUGGAAUUACUUGUCUCGGAAAUAGAUGUAUCUAGAACUAAAAUACGUCUAGAUACAUCCAUUUUCGCGACAAGUAAUUCCGAAGGGAGGGAGUACUAG